AGAUUGAACGCUGGCGGCAGGCCUAACACAUGCAAGUCGAGCGGUAGAGAGGUGCUUGCAUCUCUUGAGAGCGGCGGACGGGUGAGUAAUGCCUAGGAAUCUGCCUAGUGGUGGGGGAUAACGUUCGGAAACGGACGCUAAUACCGCAUACGUCCUACGGGAGAAAGCGGGGGACCUUCGGGCCUCGCGCCAUUAGAUGAGCCUAGGUCGGAUUAGCUAGUUGGUGAGGUAAUGGCUCACCAAGGCGACGAUCCGUAACUGGUCUGAGAGGAUGAUCAGUCACACGUA
rnacentral:rRNA from 1 species